rnacentral:lncRNA from 1 species
CUUCACUCUGCCCUCUCUCUUGUCCGUCUCGGCGUAACGCUGCGGCCGUUUGUCUUUGACGUCACAAUACUGGAUUUGAACGAGCCAAUCGGCACUCGCAGUCUUGUACGCCGGUUACAUAUGUUGGAGGACGGGUAGAGCUGCGCUCGGCCACAUCGAGGGGGAUCAAAUGGUGGGGCGCAAAAGGUGCGUCGGCUGAAAAUCGGGACCCGUACGACUGGCAGGCCGCUGGCUGCUGCUACUUGCAGUUGUACAGUGACGAGUGCGGUAGUGCCUCAUCUGGUAUCGUACCAGGUGUACUCUCUUUCUUUCUCGGUCUCUGUGUCCUUGGUACUCGAUGGAGACCGUGAAGGGACCGGAUACGUGAAGAACUGAACUUUGGGAAAUUCUCCUUUUUUGAACCAUCAGGUGGCAAAUACGACAGCCGCGUGCGUACGACGAUCACGGAACGGACUCGUAAUGGGAGGAAAGCGGACGGAUUAUGACGCGAAAGGAGAAACUCGCGGAGACCCGGCUUGCGUCUUGUGCACGAUUUAUAUUGAUAUUUUUAUCCUGUAAUAUUAUCCAAAAAUUAUCGGAGAAAGGAACGAUCUGCGAAGACUUCUUAGUGAAGCAGCAAACCAUUUUACCGCAAUACUUGUACUAUGGAUAGGAAUAAUGAGAAAAUAUUGUAUGCACAUGAUACAUUAGAUUUAAAAAAUAGCCAGCGUAAAGGAUGAAUGGAUAUGUGUGAGAUAAAAUGAAUGAGAUAAAAAAAUGUGAACAAAGUCCCUUUCUUGGCUUGUAAUACUGAAGGAAUAUAAAGGAAUUUAGCACAAUACUUAAAGUCUGAAAAUAUAACAAUCAACCUUAUUCUGGCUGUCGUAUCGAAAGGUCAAGUCAUCGAUUUCGAAGGAGAUCUCGCCGUUGCGUUCAAGAGGAUCUUGGCGCGGACAUUCUCUUUGGUUAUCUAGCUGUAUGAGUUUUAUCCGACAUCAUAAAGCUAGGUUACCGGAGUUAAGCUCCUCGCCAUAUCAACUCCAGCGAUCUUCCCUUUAUGCGUUCCUCUACGCUUCAGCGAAAAUAAAGCACCGAGACCCCGAAUACUGUUACACUCGACGUGUCCUGGGAUGUCUCGUCGCGGACGCAUCGACUUAUCGGAAUAACAAAGACGCGGCCGGACGGGAAAAAAAAGGAAGAUUCGAAUUUGCGAUAAAUACGUUAACAUCUUCAGCAGCAGUGCGAUUCGACGGUAAUUUGUACAUCGAGAUAAUUAUAUUUGAGCACCGAUUCUUUCGCAUCGAAUAAAGCAGUGUACGUCCCCGAAAUCAUUCCUCUCCCACGUUCUCGAAUAGGAAGGAUCUAUAUAGGUAUUGUCGAGCAUGGAAUUUACAGCCGUUGGGCCCUUUACAAUGGGUCGAGUGUUCUGGUAUGAGAACCCGGGUAAACACCCGGGAUCCAUAAAGAGGUAAGCGACACUCGCUGGUCCCGCAAUCGCGACGCGCGAAUGCGAAUGUCGUCUAGCUGUUGUACGACUCUCUCUCUCUGUAUUCCCCUCGUGCUCUCGCGAAACUACGAGCUGGGCAUUUGUAAUUGUUGUUAGUGCCAGUUGCUCGUGACCGGCCUGUCGAGAGAAGGAAGGAAGGAGAAGAAUUUUUCAAACAUGCGCACGUUAUUUCGCACCUACAUCACGCGGUCAUCACGUGGCUGCAGACAAUUUCUGCAGUCACGAUAAUCGCUUUAGAGAAAGUCACGAUAUCGCGUCGGAACCGUAGCAAAAUGGGAUGGGAUGUCCCAAUUUCGAGAUUCAAGCUGAAUCCGGAGGUAUCGUCGAUACUAUGACUAGAAGAAAAUCGAUUUUAAAUUCGUCGAACGAUCCGCGAUUGAAAUUCAACAUUGAAUGGAGUGGUCUGUAAUA